rnacentral:lncRNA from 1 species
CUGGUUGCAGAGGGUGUGGGAGACACUUUCUUGCACUGUGAGAAGCAGUGUACGUUUCUCUUCAUUUGCAGAUGGGCUCCUGGACUCAGGGGAGGAACCCCAUGAGUCCUCCCUCUGCUGAGCAGGCGCUGGGCCCAUCUUUGUCUUGAUGGAUGACAACCCUUCUGCCGUUGCCAUUGCUAGAAGGCUGGGGACAUCUCUGGCCGGAACAGGCCACUGUGGAGAGAAGGCAGUUAGUAGGAGAGUGGCCCGUGGGGAAGACCUAUCCUGAGGAGAAAGUGAGGUUGGGAAGAGAAGGGAAAAAUUACAAUCAAACAAAAAAGAUGGUAACAACUCAUAUGUAUGGAAAAUGGUCACUUCCAAGGUGGUUGUAUCAACGUUCGUCAGACACAUCGGUUGUUUCCAGGGCUGAAGCACAGCUUCGUUUGAAGAUGUUCCCUCUUCGGAUACCAGAGCUGCUUCUGCUAGAGGGUCCUUGUUGCAUCUGUGACAAGGCCCAGGACAAAGGAACAACAAACAGCUUAGAAUCCAUGGAGUGUGACCCAUGGCUUAGCACCACCACAGUGGUUGUGCCUCGGAGAGCUGAGGACUGCAUGCUGUCAUGGCGCUUCUCGCUCUGCUUCCUGCCCUCACGGUCAUCACAUCCCUCCUAA